rnacentral:sRNA from 1 species
UCUCUUGGUCUAUAAUGAUCCGAACCCUAGUUGACACUGGAGCUGAACUUGUAAUGGUUAUAUCUAUUGUCUGGCUUGAUUGAUCCAUACAUGUAGAUGUCUCGUCACCACCUUUUUCGACUUCAUUACUUAGCUCAGAAGGCUUCUUAGGAUCAUCUAAUAAGAUCACGCUUCCAGAACUCAGCAUUGCGGCGACAUCCGGCAUGGUGGGCCGAACUGUUGGAUCUUCCUGGGUGCAGAGCAAUGCCACUUGGGUGCACCGAAUUAUCUGAUCAAGUUCAUACACAUUCCCUAAUGAUGGAUCUACAAGCUCAUGCAACCUUCCGUCCCUCCACAUAUGCCAAGCCUGAAAA